CAGCAGCCGCGGUAAUACAGAGGGUGCAAGCGUUAAUCGGAUUUACUGGGCGUAAAGGGCGCGUAGGUGGUUAUUUAAGUGAGAUGUGAAAGCCCCGGGCUUAACCUGGGAACUGCAUCUUAUACUGGGUAACUGGAGUGCAGUAGAGGGUAGUGGAAUUUCCGGUGUAGCGGUGAAAUGCGUAGAUAUCGGAAGGAACACCAGUGGCGAAGGCGGCUACCUGGACUGAGACUGACACUGAGGCGCGAGAGCGUGGGGAGCAAACAGGAUUAGAUACCCCAGUAGUCCCUGUCUCUUAUAC
rnacentral:rRNA from 1 species